CGGGAUUUGUAUUGUCAAGCUACCUUCUGGUCUUUCAGGCAGUGUCAGACCAAGCCAAUUCACGUUCAUGCUACGCUGGCUGCUCACACUUGAUGUUCUGCUACCAAAUGGAUGUAGAGGAAUGGUACCAACAACCAGUGAACGUCAGAAGCUAUUCAUUCUCAAGAGUGAAACAGACCGCCCAACAUACCGUCAGUGAAUACUCCACGCGGAUUAUACUACAGUCAAGGAUUGAAGGGGAAACAGGUGGAAUUUUCAACUGUUUGCCAUUCCAGGUUUCUGUUUUGCCAGCUGACAAGGAUUCCCCACAGAGGUUGGCAACAACCUGUUUGACUUGCUUCAUUUUCCCUUUGGCAUAGAAUGCCUGUGUUUGGUAAAUGGUUGCUUUUGGCACCACCAUACGGGAAGAGCAGUUCUCAAUCUCUGCAAAGAUCUGAAUUGAUUCACCUGAAACAAAUAAACAAACAAACAAAACCACA